rnacentral:rRNA from 1 species
AUUGAACGCUGGCGGCAGGCCUAACACAUGCAAGUCGAACGAGUGGCGGACGGGUGAGUAAUGUCUGGGAAAUUGCCCGAUGGAGGGGGAUAACUAUUGGAAACGGUAGCAAAUACCGCAUACCAUCGGAUGUUCCCAGAUGGGAUUAGCUAGUUGGUGGGGUAAUGGCUCACUUGGGCGACGAUCCCUAGCUGGUCUGAGAGGAUGACCAGCCACACUGGAACUGAGACACGGUCCAGACUCCGACGUGAGGCAGCAGUGGGGAAUAUUGCACAAUGGGCGCAAGCCUGAUGCAGCCAUGCCGCGUGUAUGAAGAGGGCCUUCGGGUUGUAAAGUACUUUCAGCGAGGAGGCGUUACUCGCAGAAGAAGCACCGGCUAACUCCGUGCCAGCAGCCGCGGUAAUUC